rnacentral:tRNA from 1 species
GGGGUUGUUGCAGGUCGGCGCCAUACGGAGACACCGCUCGCAUCGGUCUUGAAAACCGUCGUGGUGGCGACACCACCGUGGGUUCAAAUCCCACACCCUCCG